AAGGCCUUAGGGUUGUAAACUCCGGGGAGWGGGAUCAACUGCUCCAUAGUUAAUACCUGUGGGGURGAAAGKRSCUUAAGAGGAAGUCACGGCUAACUCUGUGCCAGCAGCCGCGGUAAUACAGAGGUGGCGAACGUUGWUCGGAUUUACUGGGCGUAAAGGGUGCGUAGGCGGUUAUAUAUGUCGGAUGUGAAAUCCCACGGCUCACCCGUGGAAUUGCAUUCGAAACUGUAUAACUAGAGUGUAGGAGAGGAUAGCGGAAUUCUUGGUGUAGCGGUGAAAUGCGUUGAUAUCAAGAAGAACACCGGUGGCGAAGGCGGCUAUCUGGAAUACUACUGACGCUGAGGCACGAAAGCUAGGGGAGCGAACAGGAUUAGAUACCCUGGUAGUCCUAUGCUGUAAACGGUGUGCACUUGGUGUGGGGGGAAUUGACCCCUCCCGUGCCGGAGCUAACGUGUUAAGUGCACCGCCUGGGGAGUACGGCCGCAAGGUUAAAACUCAAAGAAAUUGACGGGGGCCCGCACAAGCGGAGGAGCAUGUGGCUUAAUUCGAUGCAACGCGAAGAACCUUACCAGGGCUUGACAUGUAACUGCACGCCUCCUGAAAGGGAGGAAGCUUUCGAAGGUGUUACACAGGUGCUGCAUGGCUGUCGUCAGUUCGUGCCGUGAGGUGUUGGGUUAAGUCCCGYAACGAACGCAACCCCUGUGUUUAGUUGCCAUC
rnacentral:rRNA from 1 species